GACUUUGGACAGGAGGCCUCUCUGGACCUCAUUUACCAAGAGUGAUGCUGAAAAUCUCACCUUUCUGAUGCUCUGGUGCACUGGGUUUACCAUCCAGCAUGCUGCUUUUCAACUUCAGAUUGAAAUGUCCAUGGCAACAGACUCUGUGCAUAAGUGGGUAUGAGUGGCACUGAUCCUGAUCUCUUGGCCUAGAGCAGAGAGCCUUCAGAGAGCACACAAUUUCACUUCCUAGGGCUGAUCCAGAAUGAGCUCCUUGGGGACCUGGGGGAUCCCAGGGAAGUGUCUGCCACCUGCAGCUCAGCCUGAAUGCACACUUGCAGCUAAACCCCAGCAUCUCCAAGCAUCUAGAACUCUGUCAUGAGAAAACUGAAGCUGGGCCCAGAUUAUAAUAAUGGAAACUCUGGUGUUCUUCACAGCGAAGCUUCUCGGGCAGCGGGCAGGUGCACCAAGAUCUUGACUCCCAGCACCUGGGCCUGCCCAUGUUCUCAAGCUGAGCAUCCUCCUACUCUUACAGCCUCACCCAUUAACUGUGUAGGCCACACAAACACCACCACAUUUUAUAUGUGCUAUGUUGUGGAUAAAGAUGGAAAACACUGUUUUGGGGAAGCAGAAGCUUUGAGCUGCUCUUUUCAGAACAAAGCUAAAGGAAAUGGGCACUGCCCAUUUUGUAUUUCACAGAGGAAUGUAAGAGGGCAGCAGGAAGCAAUCAAGAUGGGGAAAUCAGGAGGGCAGCUGGGACAUCUCUUUGCCUCAUGAUGAGAAGUAAGGCAAGGCCGAGCUGGCAGGAACCUCAGAAGACAAAAUAAAAGGCUCCCAUCUUUUCUAACGUUCAGAACAGUGAUCUCAUACUCGCGCUCAUUGUUUUCGGUUAUCCAAAGCAAACGAUUUCUCGGGAAGCUAUUAAAACAACUUGCAAUCUAAUACGAGACGUCAUUUUCUCCCAGUGACCAGCACUGGGCCAGGCAUUAUUUGGGUUUAGAAUUUUAGCUGACUGUGACUGAACUGUGAACCUCAAGUGAGUGUCACUUUAUUGGGGACCAUGACCUGACGCUGCACGGGACAACUUACAGUGCCUUUCUCGAAACUUCUCACUUGCAGGAGGAGCCUGGUUGGGUAGCAGCGCAGUCAUUUUAUAACUAUGUGAAAAUUUGUGUGUGGAAACCUGAGUGACCUAACCACACACUCUUGGUUUACUCUAGCAAUGUCCUGGGCUUUUUAUAGACUGGCAUCCUAGGCAGCAGGCCAUCUGGCCCGCCCCUGAGCUUGACCCUGGCUGUGGUAAAGCAUGGGCUUUGGCAUCAUAGACCUGAGUUCAAGGUCUGUGUCUGCUGCUCAUUAGCUGUGCAGUCUUGGGUGAGUUAUUUAACAAUCUUAAGCUACAGAUGCAAAUCAGAGAUAGGUGGAUGAUCUUACAGCUUAUUUCAUGGUAUUGCUUGACGACUAAAUGAACAGUGUGUGCCAAGGAGAGAAAUUAAUGCAUGCUCACUCUCCUUUUUACUCCUGAAACAACAAUAAAAAGCACCUGUACAGCUAAUGCUAACAAGAUCAUAUAUAUGAUUAUGUGUGUGUAUGCAUAUAUGUAUAU